GGGGAAUUAGCUCAGUUGGCUAGAGCAUCAGCAUCACACGCUGGGUGUCGCCGGUUCGAGUCCGGCAUUCCCCACCA
rnacentral:tRNA from 1 species